UACAGAGGUCUCAAGCGUUGUUCGGAUUCAUUGGGCGUAAAGGGUGCGUAGGCGGCGCGGUAAGUCGGGUGUGAAAUCUCGGAGCUUAACUCCGAAACUGCAUUCGAUACUGCCGUGCUUGAGGACUGGAGAGGAGACUGGAAUUUACGGUGUAGCGGUGAAAUGCGUAGAUAUCGUAAGGAAGACCAGUGGCGAAGGCGGGUCUCUGGACAGUUACUGACGCUGAGGCACGAAGGCCAGGGGAGCAAACGGG
rnacentral:rRNA from 1 species